CAGCCUCGGGGUGUUGGAGGCCUCUUUGCAAGUUUCAUCUCCCUCCAUGCAGCAUUGUGGUUAUUGUUCAGUUGCUAAUUCUUGUCCGACUCUUUGCAACCCCAUGGACUGUAGCCCACCAGGCUCUCUGUCCAUGGGAUCUCCUAGGCAAGAACACUGAAGUGAGUUGCCAUUUGCUUCUCCAGGGAUCUUCCCAAUCCAAGGAUCGAACCUACACCUCUUGCAUCUCCUGCACUGGCAGGCGGAUUCUUCAUCACUGAGCCACUUGGGAAGCCCCAGCAUGUACUGUUUCAGGGGCAAGUUGUCCACUGCAGUUUGGUUGCUUUCCAUCCUGCUGCUGCCCCUGGCUUCUUGGAGCAAGGAGGAGAAAGCAAAGAUACCUUUGGAAACUUCUGGAUGGGUUUGCACCAUCAUCAGAACUGCAUGAUGGUCAGGGAGAACCUCACAGAGCCAUCAGACAGUAAAAGCCCCAGGAACCAAUCAGAAGCUGAGGUAAACUGAGGAGAAGAAUUCACGUUUGGGCACAAAACUGUACCGAGCAGCAGUUUUGAAAAGGAGCUAAGGAUGAAUAGUGGAGAGAGGAGAAACACAAUUGGCUUUGGUUUAUGUCUUCUUAGAAUUUUUAUAUCUGAACUGGAAUUUGCUUCCUUUUCGCCUCUCUCUCACUUGAAAAGAACUAGUCUGAUAGUUAAGCUCGAACUGAGCUGGAUGGUCCACUAUGUCCCGAACACUCAAUGGCUCCUCAUUGUCUGCCGCUGUAGGUUUAAAGACGCUGGCUGGUGCCCAGGGAUACUUAAAAUACAAUUCCUUCCCAUCCAUCCAUUUAUCUUGGGGCUUCUGAUGUGAAUAGAGAUUCACUCAAGGUAUCUCAGGAAACUAGCAGACUUCCUGUAAGGACGCGUGGAGCUGAAGCAGACUCAAGAAGCCUGGAGGUAAGUAACUCCGCUAUUUCCGCCUAUGUCCACUUCUCUCUGUCUGGCUGUCUUUCUCUUUGCCUGUCUCUCCAUCUCUACGUUUGUCUUCAGUGUGCAUCUCUCUCUCCUCUUUUAGAGAGACAGUCUCCUAUCUUACCACCAACCAGCUUCCCACCCUCUGUGUUUUCCCCUCUCCCUCAGAGCAGCCUGCAAGGGCUUUGGUUUUGCUGUUUCCGAUUCAACUCCAUCUCCACUACCUUCAGCCCCUCAUCAUCACCUUCAAUCGUCUAUUUCUCUCAUUUACAAACCUUGGGGAGGAGUGUGGCAUUUGGGAUUUGCUGUGUGUCAUUCUGCUUCCACUCUCCCAUUACUGACCUACC
rnacentral:lncRNA from 1 species